AUGCCGUCCCCGCCGCACAUGCAGCAGAAGCGCCCGGACGUCCCGGCGUCCCCGAUGUUCGCGCCCGCCGCGCUGGCCGAGUCCUCGAGCGAGGAGCUGCGCGCCCCGCCGCCGCCCCCUCCGCCCCAGGCGCAGGCGGCCGUGGUGGGUCGGCCUCCGCACCCCCGGCGCCGAGCAAGAAGCCCGACGGCGGCGUGGUGGACGCCUUCUGCGUCCAGGUCAACGUGCCCCGCCGCGUCCGCGCACCGCGUGGAGUUCGCGCGAAGGACGGCGUCGGAGCAAAAAGGCUGCAGUAGUCGCAUGGCGCAGUCGUCAUCACGUUGCCGUUGUCGUCCUCCUCCUGGUAGACGCAGCGGUACGCGCCGUCCUGGGCGCCCUGCUCAGCGUCCGCACCACGCGCGCCAGCCGGAACCGCGCGUUGGCGCCGUUAUUGGAGAGGAGCACGGCGGCGCCGUCUCAUGCGGAAGAGGCAGUUGGCCAGGGGCCAGCAUGGCACUCCUUGCCUAUGUAGUAGUUGGGCGUGAUGGUCAACAUGGACACCACCAGCACGUUCAAGCCCCUGGGCGCGACCUGGAGCAGGUUCCUGGCGACUCCCACGAAGACGAGCCCGGCGAGGUGCACGUUGCUCACGUCCUUGCGGAGGUUGUAGCGGUUGACGAUCAUGCCGGCGAAGGACGCCGUCGGGGCGAAGAGGCUGCAGUUGACAACGAGGAUGUCGAUGUCCUCCGGGGCGACCUUGGUCUUGGCGAGCAGGUUGUCGAUGGCGGAGAAGACGAUGAGCUCGACCUCGGCGCGGGAGGACUCGAGGCCCCAGCACUCGAGCAGGCGCGACAUGAACCGGACGCUGCGCUCGUCGAAGCCCGGCCACACGCGGGCGUGCUCCUGGACGCGGCGAACGGGACGCGGCAGCUGGGGCUGGUGCGGAGGAGUCCAGGUGCCGAGAGCACCCAUGGUCGCAGGGAGCUGGCGGUGGACAUGAUGAGUAGAGGAACCUCCGGCGCGCUCAACGUGUUCGACGAAAUGAGAUGCCAAACCUGGCAACCAAUCAACAGGUCAUCUACGUUUUUGACCCUAUUUUUCCUCGCCCAGGCCAUGCUCAGCCCGGCUUGUUUUUGCUCUCCUAGCCAGGCCCGGUGGAGAAACUAA
rnacentral:rRNA from 1 species